CCUACGGGAGGCUGCAGUGAGGAAUAUUGGUCAAUGGACGAGAGUCUGAACCAGCCAAGUAGCGUGAAGGAUGACUGCCCUAUGGGUUGUAAACUUCUUUUAUAAAGGAAUAAAACGAGGCACGUGUGCCUUUUUGCAUGUACUUUAUGAAUAAGGAUCGGCUAACUCCGUGCCAGCAGCCGCGGUAAUACGGAGGAUCCGAGCGUUAUCCGGCUUUGUUGGGUUUAAAGGGAGCGUAGAUGGGUUGUUAAGUCAGUUGUGAAAGUUUGCGGCUCAACCGUAAAAUUGCAAUUGAUACUGGCAGUCUUGAGUACAGUUGAGGUAGGCGGAAUUCGUGGUGUAGCGGUGAAAUGCUUAGAUAUCACGAAGAACCCCGAUUGCGAAGGCAGCUUACUAAACUGUGACUGACAUUGAUGCUCGAAAGUGUGGGUAUCAAACAGGAUUAGAUACCCGGGUAGUC
rnacentral:rRNA from 1 species